GCUGGUCUAGCCCUGUGGAGCGCUUGGCCGGUAGAGCAUGAGACCCUUAAUCUCAGAGUUGUGGGUUCGAGCCCCACAUUUGACA